rnacentral:rRNA from 1 species
AAUCAACGCUGGCGGCGUGCCUCAGACAUGCAAGUCGAACGCGAAAGCUCCCUUCGGGGAGCAAGUAGAGUGGCGCACGGGUGAGUAACACGUAGGUAAUCUACCUUUGGAUGGGGAAUAACAACCGGAAACGGUUGCUAAUACCGCAUAAUGCAGCGGCACCUAAUGGUGACAGUUGUUAAAGCGGGGGAUCGCAAGACCUCGCGUCUGAAGAGGAGCCUGCGGCAGAUUAGCUAGUUGGUAAGGUAAAGGCUUACCAAGGCGAUGAUCUGUAGCCGGCCUGAGAGGGCGGUCGGCCACACUGACGCUGACAUACGGGUCAGACUCCUACGGGAGGCAGCAGUCGGGAAUUUUGGGCAAUGGGCGAAAGCCUGACCCAGCAACGCCGCGUGAAGGAUGAAAUCCCUCGGGAUGUAAACUUCGCAAGAACGGGAAGAAUAAGUGAGAGUUAAUAUCUCUUACGAUGACGGUACUGUUUGUAAGCUCCGGCUAACUCCGUGCC